AUAGCUUUGGUCCUAGGCUUACCGUUAUUUUUUACUAAGAUUAUACAUGCAAGCCUCCGCACACCAGUGAGAAUGCCCACAAACCCUUAAAAGAUGCACCGGAGCAGGUAUCAGGCACUACCCUUUAGCCCAUAACGCCUUGUCACACCACACCCCCACGGGUUUAUCAGCAGUAAUAAACAUUGAGCAAUAAAUGAAAAUUUGACUCAGCUACAGUACUCUAGGGCUGGUUAAUUUCGUGCCAGCCACCGCGGUUAUACGAAAAGCCCUAAAUAACGGCCAAACGGCGUAAAUAGUGACUAGAUAUAUAUAUAUAUUAUAAAAUACAAAACUCGCAACCAGCUGUAAAAUACUAAGUUGCCGAGGAAGACCAGUACAAAUAUUUUACCUUAAUUAUUGACCACACGAAAGCUUAGAAACAAACUAGGAUUAGAUACCCUACUAUGCUAAGCCCUUAACAUUGAUAGCAAUUAUACAACGCUUUCCGCCAGAGAACUACAAGUGAAAAACUUAAAACUCAAAGGACUUGGCGGUAUCCCACAUCGCCCUAGAGGAGCCUGUCCUGUAAUCGAUAAUCCUCGCUCCACCUAACCUCAAUUAGCCUAAUCAGCCUAUAUACCGCCGUCGACAGUCUACCCCAUGAGGGUUCAAUAGUAGACAAAAUAGCCAUUGCUCGCUAACACGUCAGGUCAAGGUGUAGCAAAUAUUGAGGUAGAGAUUGGCUACAUUUUUAAUGCUUAAAAAAACGGAAUGCACCAUGAAACAGUACAUAAAGGUGAAUUUAGCAGUAAGACAAACAAGAGUGUUUGCCCUAACAUCGCUCUGGGAUGCGCACACACCGCCCGUCACCCUCCUCAACACAUACCCAAAAAAUCUAUAAACCCCUUUACUAAAAUAGAGGAGGCAAGUCGUAACAUGGUAAGCGUACCGGAAGGUGCGCUUGGACUAA
rnacentral:ncRNA from 1 species